UCGCCGGAAUAGAUGUCGGCCAAUCUCCCAAUUCUUCCCAACGCAAUCUCAAUUCCCGCCAGGAAUGCCACUAGUGAGAACCUCUUCGCCGCCGUAGACAUCGGUACUAACUCCUUCAAGCUCCUCGUAGUUCGCGCCGACCCUUCCACCGGCCGUUUCCUCACCGUCGAUCGGUUCAAGGAAAGAGUCCUCCUCGGCCUUGAUACUAAUACCACCACUACCUCCGCCACUAUCUCCAACGCCUCUCUGCUACGCGCCACCGCAGCACUUCGAAAGUUUCAGAAGCUUCUCCAGUCACAUCGCGUUCCUUCCUCCCAUUCUCGCCUCGUAGCUACUUCUGCUGUUCGAGAAGCUUCCAAUCGAUCACAAUUCCUUCAAACGAUUGAUGAAACCCUAGGCCUGAAAGUUGAUGUACUCUCCGGUCUCGAAGAGGCCCGCCUUAUAUACAAAGGCAUACUUCAAUUCCAUCCUGUUCAUGACCGUACAGUUCUCACAAUUGACAUAGGAGGUGGCUCUACAGAGUUUGUAAUUGGCAAAGAGGGGCAGAUUUUGUUCUCUAUUUCACUAGCAUUGGGACAUGUCACUUUAACUCAAAAAUUUCCAGAAGUUACAGAAAUGCGGGAACAUAUUAAGGUUAUAAUCCGUGCCUCGGGCUUAAAUGAGAAGGUUAAGCAUUAUAAUAUUGAUAAAGUGAUUGGUUCAUCAGGGACAAUUAGGAAUAUUGAAAAGGCUAUUUUCCGUGGCUAUGCAAGCAAUAUGGAGGGAAAUGUGGGCAUAUCUGAGGAAAGUAGGAGGGAUUGGAGUUUUACAAUGGACGAAUUGAAGGGCUUAGUGGAGAGGUUGAGUGAGGAAGAGAGAAGAGUUGGAGGGAAGGUUCGAACGCAGGGCUUUUUCAAGAAGAGGUCAGAAUUUAUUGUGGCAGGGGCAGUUUUAUUGGAGGAAAUAUUUGAGGAGCUUAAGAUUGAGGAGAUGGAGGUUUCUGGGUAUGCAUUAGGUGAGGGUGUGAUUGCAGAGAAGUUAGGGGAGGUUUUUGAUAAUUAUGAUCCAAGGGCGAAUGCGAGGUGGAGGUCUGUAACGAGGCUCGCGACAAGGUUUAAUAACAAGCAACACAUGAAAUCUGCUGCAUUAUGCUUUAGUGUUGCCAAGGAGAUGUUUGAUGGUUUGAGAAAAGGGUAUGAAUCAGGCAAUGGUUCUGAUGGAUUCUUUGUAUCCUUGGAGGAUAAAGAUCUCGAGUAUCUCGAGGCAGCUUGUUUGCUUCAAAAAAUUGGUCUUUAUGCUGGUAAAAAGGGCUAUCAUAAGCAAUCUUACCAUAUAAUAGCGGCGAUCAUCUACAUGGUUAUAAUGUCGAAGAGGUUAAGCUUCCAGUUAAUAGCUCUACUUGUGAGACACCAUAGAAAGAAACUUCCUGAAUGUGAUCAUGUGGUGCCUGAGGAAUUAACAGAAGAGAUGAGAGGGAAAUUCAGAAUUCUUUGUGCAAUUCUACGUGUAUCUGCUGCACUGGAGAAACUUCAGCUGGUCAACAUCCACAAUGUGGAUUUCUCACAUACCUGUGAAGGAUAUAAAUUGCUGUAGGUACUUGAAGCAGGAAAUUUGCCCUUCCCUGGUUAUGUGCUGCCAUCAGUGAAAGACUUCGAGACAGAGCAUGUUAAAGAGUUGGAACACUUCAGAAUGGUGUUCCAGGAAAGAUUGUCAAUUGCUGUCACUUCAUCAUAAUCUGUAAGAAAUGCUAGGAAUUGUGAGACGCCUUUCCUGAGUUUGCCAAGAAAAUGAUGGUAAAAUAUUGUAUUAUGUAAAAGCCAUGCUGUAAUGCAUGUUA